GAAGUAUGGCAAAAAGGAUUCUUUAUGCUACACGGAAUUAAGAAAAUGGUGAGAUAACAAGUAGAGGAAAACAGACAGGAAGGCUUGACAAGGGUUAAGCAGCAGCAAUGAAAAGCUCACUGGGAUUACAAGCAUUCAGAUGAGCUGCAGAAGGAGAAUUGUUUAGUUGUGAGAAGGCAGAAAUGGAGGAGAGCAGGCAUGUGGGAGAGGAAGUUGCCUUGAUCACAGGAUUUCCGUCACUGCACUGCAAGAGCACGCAUGGGUGGAGCAAGCAGUGAAGCACAUCCCUGGCCUACAGAAGUUACAGAAGAUGCUUCAGACCAGCAUUUUAGUUAUUGGAAAUAUUAUUUCAAGCUCUGUAAAAACAAGAAACAUCAUGAUAGUAACACAUUGUUUUAAGGUCAGGUUUAUGCAAUCCAAGGCUUUAGAAUAAACCUUUGAGAUUUUACUACUGUUGAACAGCUUUAGGGAGCACAUGUUAUUUCCUCUUAAUGUGUGGGGCCACUUUAAAUUUGUGCUUCUGCAUUAUUAAACCAUCGUGGGAAGUGCAGCAGGAGGAAACCCGGGCAAUUGGCUGCAGCUCCAGAUGCAGCUGCUCGCUCAUUGGAGAGAGGAGGAUUCUCCCCGUACUAAAAUUAGACCAUCUCCGCCCUCCAGAAAUGCUUCUGGAAACAGCGAGCCGCAGGAAUUGUGACACAGCCCGAGGAGCCGCGGUGGGCAGGGAGCUGUGCAGGGCCCUGCUCCCAAACUGCAGCCUCGGGCUGCACUGGAAGGUGCUUUGGGUGGCUGGAAAAAAAAUGUGCACAAUAAACUGCAAGAGAUUCAUGUUAGCAUGAAACACGGAUAUUAAAUUCAACAUUACUUAUGUAAUAAUAAUUCUGAAGUGUUCAUGCGGG